rnacentral:rRNA from 1 species
UACAGAGGUCUCAAGCGUUGUUCGGAUUCAUUGGGCGUAAAGGGUGCGUAGGCGGCGAGGUAAGUCGGAUGUGAAAUCCCGGGGCUCAACCCUGGAACUGCAUUCGAUACUGCCUUGCUCGAGGACUCGAGAGGAGAUUGGAAUUCACGGUGUAGCAGUGAAAUUCGUAGAUAUCGGGAGGAACACCAGUGGCGAAGGCGGCUCUCUGGGCAGAUACCGACGCUGAGACGCGAAAGCGUGGGAAGCAAACAGG